rnacentral:rRNA from 1 species
UACGUAGGGUGCAAGCGUUAUCCGGAAUUAUUGGGCGUAAAGAGCUCGUAGGCGGUUUGUCGCGUCUGCUGUGAAAACCCGAGGCUCAACCUCGGGCCUGCAGUGGGUACGGGCAGACUAGAGUGCGGUAGGGGAGAUUGGAAUUCCUGGUGUAGCGGUGGAAUGCGCAGAUAUCAGGAGGAACACCAAUGGCGAAGGCAGAUCUCUGGGCCGUAACUGACGCUGAGGCACGAAGGUCAGGGAGCAAACGGG